AGAGUUUGAUCCUGGCUCAGGACGAACGCUGGCGGCGUGCUUAACACAUGCAAGUCACGGGGGGCCCGCAAGGGUCAACCGGCGAACGGGUGCGUAACACGUGAGCGACCUGCCCAGUUGCGGGGGAUAGCCGGCCCAACGGCCGGGUAAUACCGCAUACGCGUUCCGGGGGGCAUACCCUGGGGCGGAAACCUACGGGGCAAUUGGAGGGGCUCGCGGCCUAUCAGCUAGUUGGCGGGGUAACGGCCCACCAAGGCGAUGACGGGUAGCUGGUCUGAGAGGAUGGCCAGCCACAUUGGGACUGAGAGACGGCCCAGACUCCUACGGGAGGCAGCAGUGGGGAAUUUUACGCAAUGGGGGAAACCCUGACGUAGCGACACCGCGUGAGCGAAGAAGCCCUUUGGGGUGUAAAGCUCUGUCAACAGGAACGAAACAAAUGACGGUACCUGUGGAGGAAGCAUCGGCUAACUACGUGCCAGCAGCCGCGGUAAGACGUAGGAUGCAAGCGUUGUCCGGAUUUAUUGGGCGUAAAGAGUUCGUAGGCGGUUUGUUAAGUCUGAUGUUAAAGACCGGGGCUCAACCUCGGAAAUGCAUUGGAUACUGGCAGACUGGAGUGCAGUAGAGGCUAGUGGAAUUCCCAGUGUAGCGGUGAAAUGCGUAGAUAUUGGGAAGAACACCGGUGGCGUAGGCGACUAGCUGGGCUGUAACUGACGCUGAGGAACGAAAGCCAGGGGAGCAAAUGGGAUUAGAUACCCCGGUAGUCCAA
rnacentral:rRNA from 1 species